rnacentral:misc_RNA from 1 species
AAUUCUCAAAACCCACUUUCUUUGAUCUUUUCGAUCAAGAAAAGGAUUUUGGACUUGGAGGAUCAAUGCUCGCUCUCAGCUUUUGAAUGUGAGCUCCUCUUAAAUAAAUUAGUGGGGUCUGCUUUGCCGAUCCUUGACGUGAUAAGGUUAUUCUACGUUUUGGAUUUGGCACUGUCCCUUUAGACAUCUGCUUCUAACUGUCUCAUGGACGACGAUGGUGAUCCGGUCACCGCCGCCUGUGUCGGCGGGGGGAGGCUGGACCCACAAAGAAAUACCUU